rnacentral:rRNA from 1 species
AGAUUCCUACGGGAGGCAGCAGUGGGGAAUAUUGCACAAUGGGCGGAAGCCUGAUGCAGCAACGCCGCGUGCGGGAUGACGGCCUUCGGGUUAUAAACCGCUUUCGCCUGUGACGAAGCGUGAGUGACGGUAAUGGGUAAAGAAGCACCGGCUAACUACGUGCCAGCAGCCGCGGUGAUACGUAGGGUGCGAGCGUUGUCCGGAUUUAUUGGGCGUAAAGGGCUCGUAGGUGGUUGAUCGCGUCGGAAGUGUAAUCUUGGGGCUUAACCCUGAGCGUGCUUUCGAUACGGGUUGACUUGAGGAAGGUAGGGGAGAAUGGAAUUCCUGGUGGAGCGGUGGAAUGCGCAGAUAUCAGGAGGAACACCAGUGGCGAAGGCGGUUCUCUGGGCCUUUCCUGACGCUGAGGAGCGAAAGCGUGGGGAGCGAACAGGCUUAGAUACCCUGGUAGUCCACGCUGUAAACGGUGGGUACUAGGUGUGGGGUCCAUUCCACGGGUUCCGUGCCGUAGCUAACGCUUUAAGUACCCCGCCUGGGGAGUACGGCCGCAAGGCUAAAACUCAAAGGAAUUGACGGGGCCCCGCACAAGCGGCGGAGCAUG